CCUACGGGUGGCUGCAGUGGGGAAUCUUAGACAAUGGGCGAAAGCCUGAUCUAGCCAUGCCGCGUGGACGAUGAAGGCCUUAGGGUUGUAAAGUCCUUUCAGAUGGGAAGAUAAUGACGGUACCAUCAGAAGAAGCCCCGGCUAACUCCGUGCCAGCAGCCGCGGUAAUACGGAGGGGGCUAGCGUUGUUCGGAAUUACUGGGCGUAAAGCGCGCGUAGGCGGACUGGAAAGUUGGGGGUGAAAUCCCGGGGCUCAACCUCGGAACUGCCUUCAAAACUAUCAGUCUGGAGUUCGAGAGAGGUGAGUGGAAUUCCGAGUGUAGAGGUGAAAUUCGUAGAUAUUCGGAGGAACACCAGUGGCGAAGGCGGCUCACUGGCUCGAUACUGACGCUGAGGUGCGAAAGCGUGGGGAGCAAACAGGAUUAGAUACCCGGGUAGUC
rnacentral:rRNA from 1 species